CCACCUCGGGCUCCUCAGUGUCGACAGCUGCAGCCCCCCACACCCUACCCAUCCUUGAAGCUCAAACCUUCGACCUGACACCCCUCACCACUCACACCUCCAGUCCCGUUCCCUUCACCUGGGCUGGAGGAGCCCGGCCGAGGUGCCCAGUCUUUCCAUCCUGAACACAAGCCUCAGGUGUUGAGGCAUCUGGAGUGGCCGAUCUAAAGCCGGCCUUCGCAGACGGGUGACCUGCUGUCCUGAGGGAGGCCUCCCAGGCUCCUGCCGCGGUCACCUCCUCCACGUCGGUAUUCCGGGGAGGCCCGCGAAGACGGUGUGGAUCACACCGUUCCUACAUCGGUGGAAGAGUCCAGAAAAGGGAACCAUUUCCGAAGUUCUUCUCAGGACGAUUCUGGAGAAUGUGCUCCUCUGGAAACAGGAGGAAAACAGAAAGGUGAGGACUUGGAAGUCAAGGAGUGCAGGGUGCACCAAGAGAAGAGAGAACAGGAGUCCCAGGGUGAGAGCUGUACCACCGGGCUGGAGAGCGGCUGUCCAGACUGACACAGGGGGACAGAGACUUUAAAAACAGGUGAUCGACUUCCAGGCUUGUUGGAACACACGGAGGAAGGUACUGCAGCGCUGUCAGAGUCCCGUCGGUGAUGGCGGUAAAUAACAACCAGCAGGCAAGAAGUGAUGUACUUUGUUCUGUAAUCUACUCCCCUCCCCCAUCGCGUAGAUAGGAUCAUUUCUACUGAUCUGUCUUCAAAUUCACUGAUUCAUCUGCCAUCUCCAAUGCACUGUCAAGCCCAACCAGUGAAUUUUUCAUUUCAGUUAUUAUACUUUUUAUUGGAGAAAUACCAUUUAGUUCUUUUAUGGAGUUUCAAAUAAUUUCCAUUUUCCCUUGUCUGUUUACUCAUUAAGACAAUGUUUUCCUUUAAUUUUUUGGACAUGUUUU